AUGACUGCAACAGACAUUCAGCGCCAACUCCAAGAAACCGGGACUUCCUUAUCAAAGACCACAGUACAUAGAGCAAUCAAGGAAGCUGGCUAUACUGCAAGUGCACCUCGUUAUUGUCAAAUGAUCCGCGAAGUCAACAAAGUCAAACGCGUAGAUUUCUGUAAACAGCUUGUGUUAGAUAAUGACAAUUUUAAUGACAUUGUAUUCACCGACGAAUGCACAGUGCAACUUCAUGAUAACAAAGUUGUUGUUUAUCGUUUAAGAAAUGAAUCUGCUACACCAAUUCCAUAA
rnacentral:sRNA from 1 species